rnacentral:rRNA from 1 species
GAUGAACGCUGGCGGCGUGCCUAAUACAUGCAAGUCGAGCGAAUGGAUUAAGAGCUUGCUCUUAUGAAGUUAGCGGCGGACGGGUGAGUAACACGUGGGUAACCUGCCCAUAAGACUGGGAUAACUCCGGGAAACCGGGGCUAAUACCGGAUAACAUUUUGAACCGCAUGGUUCGAAAUUGAAAGGCGGCUUCGGCUGUCACUUAUGGAUGGACCCGCGUCGCAUUAGCUAGUUGGUGAGGUAACGGCUCACCAAGGCAACGAUGCGUAGCCGGCCUGAGAGGGUGAUCGGCCACCCUGGGACUGAGACACGGCCUAGACUCCUACGGGAGGCAGCAGUAGGGAAUCUUCAGCAAUGGACGAAAGUCUGACGGAGCAGCGCCGCGUGAGUGAUGAAGGCUUUCGGGUCGUAAAACUCUGUUGUUAGGGAAGAACAAGUGCUAGUUGAAUAAGCUGGCACCUUGACGGUACCUAACCAGAAAGCCACGGCUAACUACGUGCCAGCCGCCGCAGUAA